AAGACUUGUAAGAAAGUGAGGAAAGCAGGAAGAGGCAGCAGGAGAAGUUGAAUUGUAAAGUAUGUGCAAAUUAAGCCUAGUUCAUUCAACUGGGAUCGCAGAACUGAGAUGGCCUUUCAGAGAUGCCCAGAAAUAAAGUAGCACCCUCCUUCCCCAAUGGAAGAGUCACUGGAUCGGGAAGCCCUGGGAGGAAGAUAAGCUUGAGCAAGGUGGAUGCCUCCCAUCAGCUGAAGAUCAGCCCUGAGCUAACUACUGCCAGUCCUCCUCUUUUUGCUGAGGAAGCCUGGCCCUGAGCUAACAUCCGUGCCCAUCUUCCUCUACUUUAUACGUGGGACGCCUACCACAGCAUGGCGUGCCAAGUGGUGCCAUGUCCGCACCCGCGAUCCAAACCGGUGAACCUGGGGCCGCCGAGAAGUGGAACGUACGAACUUAACCGCUGCCCCACCAGGCCAGCCCCUUUCUUGUUACUUUUUGAUGGAAGAGUAUGAACGAGUUCAAUGAAAUACCUGGAGCUAAUGAAGCAAACAUUCCUUCAUAGAAAUAGACAGACAGAUAGAUGAGCGAGAGAGAGAGAGAGAGAGAGGGAGGGCAGGGGAGAGGAGGAGAGGAAGAGGAAGGAAGACAGAGAAGUGUGUUCAAACACAUGUAUGUGUCAGGCCACAGGAUCCGUCCAGGCAUAAGGAAGCAGGAUGCUAUGGCUGGAGUUUAGGGUGUAGGAGCAGAGGGAGAGGCAGGUGAUUAGACUGGAGAGGGAGACUUCAGAGGAAGAAGUGACAAAAUUAAAAAUACUGAGCAGAGUAAUUUCUGGUACUUAGGAUGACUCCUAUGUUUAUAAACCAAGCCGUGGAGUGGCUGAUACUUUUAAAAGAAGACGGAGAGUUUGGGAAAGCAUAUAAACUCAACUUUAAUAUGUCGGUUUGAAACACCUACGAACCAUCCAGGUGACAGUGUUUGAUAUGCAGCUGGAUGGAUGAGCCUGGGACUCAGAGGAAAGAUUUGUGUUGAAGUUAAAGAUUUGGAAUGCUGAGUGCUAAGAGGAUUAUUCACUCCCAG
rnacentral:lncRNA from 1 species